AACCCCUAUCAAACUCCGAAUACCAUUCAAUAGAGCGCAGCAGUGAGACGGCGGGGGAUAAGCUUCGUCGUCGAGAGGGAAACAGCCCAGAUCAGCAGCUAAGGUGCCUAAAUUGUGCUCAGUGGAAAGGAGGUGAGGUUUCAUAGACAGUGAGGAUGUUGGCUUAGAAGCAGCCACCAUUUAAAAAAUGCGUAAUAGCUUACUCAUCGAGAGACCUUGCGCCGAAAAUACUUGGCGAUAAGCACAAUACCGAAGCUCUGGGUGUCCUAGUUUACUAGGGCGCGGUAGAGGAGCAUUCUCUGUGCAGUGAAGGGUGAUGGCGACUGACCCUGGAGCGCAGAGAAGUGAGAAUGCAGACAUGAGUAACGAUAAGAGCGGUGAAAUCCCGCUCCGCCGUAAAUCCAAGGUUUCCCGGGCAACGUUUUUCGUCCCGGGGUUAGUCGGGACCUAACCCGAGGCCGAUGGGCGUAGGGGAUGGUAAGCAGGUUAAUAUUCCUGCACCCAGUAAGGAGGACGCAUAAUGAAAAGCUACUAGGUUAUUGAAUUCCGAGGCGAGGCUUAGGCCGGACCGUAUAGCUGGACAGAGUGCCAAGAAAAGCCCUUACAUUAAUGGCCCGUACCGUAAACCGACACAGGUGGAUGGGUAGAAUAUACCAAGGCGCAAGAGUGAAACCUGGUCAAGGAACUCGGCAAAAUAGCCCCGUAACUUCGGAAGAAGGGGUGCCCCCUCUGGGGGGCCGCAGUGAAAUGGCCCAACCGACUGUUUAGCAAAAACACAGCAUUGUGCUAAGGCGUAAGCCGACGUAUACGAUGUGACACGUGACCAAUGCCAAAAGAUUACGGUAAGAUGUUAGCACUUUAGUGCGAAGCUUCGAGCCCAAGUCCUGGUGAAUGUCGGCCGUAACUAUAACGGUCCUAAGGUAGCGAAAUUCCUUGUCGGGUAAGUUCCGACCUGCACGAAUCGUGCAACGAGUUGGGCGCUGUCUCGACCAGGUGCUCAGUGAAAUUGUAGUUCCGGUGAAGAUGCCGGACACCCGCAGAAGGACGGAAAGACCCUAUAGACCUUAACUGUAAGCUGUUAUUGGUUGUUCGAUCUUAAUGCUCAGCAUAAGUGGGAGACAUUGAAGGGUGCGUUUAGGCGCAUCUGGAGUCAUCAGUGAGAUACCACCCUUUAAUAUUGGAUAAUCUAACCCCGAGCCGUCAUCCGGCCGUGGGGACAAUGGCAGCCGGUCAGUUUUACUGGGGCGGUAUCCUCCUAAAGAGUAACGGAGGAGCGCGAAGGUGGGCUCAGCACAGUUGGCAACUGUGUGUUGAGUGUAAAGGCACAAGCCCGCCUAACUGUGAGACCUACAAGUCGAGCAGAUACGAAAGUAGGCCUUAGUGAUCCGGCGGUAGAAUGUGGAAUUGCCGUCGCUCAACGGAUAAAAGGUACCUUAGGGAUAACAGGCUUAUCACGCCCAAGAGUUCAUAUCGACGGCGUGGUUUGGCACCUCGAUGUCGGCUCGUCGCAUCCUGGGGCUGGAGAAGGUCCCAAGGGUCCGGCUGUUCGCCGGUUAAAGCGGCACGCGAGCUGGGUUCAGAACGUCGCGAGACAGUUCGGUCCUCUAUCCUCUGUGGGCGUAGGAAAAUUGAAGGGUUCAGACCUUAGUACGAGAGGACCGGGUUUGACGCACCUCUGGUGUUCCAGUUGUUCUGUCAAGGGCACUGCUGGGUAGCUAAGUGCGGAACGGAUAAGCGCUGAAAGCAUCUAAGCGCCAAGCCAUUCCUGAGAUAAAUUUUCCCUGAAGGAUCGUGGAAGACGACCACGUUGAUAGGCUGGGGGUAGAAGUGCAGCAAUGUAUGUAGCUCACCAGUACUAAUCAUCCGUUCGACUUAAUUCC
rnacentral:rRNA from 1 species